rnacentral:snoRNA from 17 species
UGCGUGAUGCGGUGCAGAGACUGUCGCGAGCAGCCCGCGUAGCCGCCAGGCCGUGCGCGCCCUGUCCAACCACUGUGCUCAACGGGUGGACAGUCACUGACG